rnacentral:rRNA from 1 species
UACGAAGGGGGCUAGCGUUGUUCGGAAUCACUGGGCGUAAAGCGCACGUAGGCGGACUGAUAAGUCGGGGGUGAAAUCCCGGGGCUCAACCCCGGAACUGCCUUCGAUACUGUCAGUCUCGAGUCCGAGAGAGGUGAGUGGAAUUCCUAGUGUAGAGGUGAAAUUCGUAGAUAUUAGGAAGAACACCAGUGGCGAAGGCGGCUCACUGGCUCGGUACUGACGCUGAGGUGAGAAAGCGUGGGGAGCAAACAGG